GCUCCGAUAGCUCAAUGGUAGAGCAGCUGACUCUUAAUCAGUAGGUUGUAGGUUCGAGUCCUACUCGGAGCA
rnacentral:tRNA from 1 species